rnacentral:rRNA from 1 species
UACGGAGGGGGCGAGCGUUAUUCGGAAUUAUUGGGCGUAAAGGGCGCGUAGGCGGCCAAGUAAGUCAAAGGUGAAAUCCCUCGGCUCAACUGAGGAAUUGCCUUUGAAACUGCGUGGCUUGAGGCCGGGAGGGGGUAGCGGAAUUCCCAGUGUAGCGGUGAAAUGCGUAGAUACUGGGAGGAACACCAGUGGCGAAGGCGGCUACCUGGACCGGUUCUGACGCUGAUGCGCGAAAGCGUGGGGAGCAAACAGG